GACGAACGCUGGCGGCGUGCUUAACACAUGCAAGUCGAACGGAAAGGCCCUGCUUUUGUGGGGUGCUCGAGUGGCGAACGGGUGAGUAACACGUGAGUAACCUGCCCUUGACUUUGGGAUAACUUCAGGAAACUGGGGCUAAUACCGGAUAGGAGCUCCUGCUGCAUGGUGGGGGUUGGAAAGUUUCGGCGGUUGGGGAUGGACUCGCGGCUUAUCAGCUUGUUGGUGGGGUAGUGGCUUACCAAGGCUUUGACGGGUAGCCGGCCUGAGAGGGUGACCGGCCACAUUGGGACUGAGAUACGGCCCAGACUCCUACGGGAGGCAGCAGUGGGGAAUAUUGCACAAUGGGCGGAAGCCUGAUGCAGCAACGCCGCGUGCGGGAUGACGGCCUUCGGGUUGUAAACCGCUUUCGCCUGUGACGAAGCGUGAGUGACGGUAAUGGGUAAAGAAGCACCGGCUAACUACGUGCCAGCAGCCGCGGUGAUACGUAGGGUGCGAGCGUUGUCCGGAUUUAUUGGGCGUAAAGGGCUCGUAGGUGGUUGAUCGCGUCGGAAGUGUAAUCUUGGGGCUUAACCCUGAGCGUGCUUUCGAUACGGGUUGACUUGAGGAAGGUAGGGGAGAAUGGAAUUCCUGGUGGAGCGGUGGAAUGCGCAGAUAUCAGGAGGAACACCAGUGGCGAAGGCGGUUCUCUGGGCCUUUCCUGACGCUGAGGAGUGAAAGCGUGGGGAGCGAACAGGCUUAGAUACCCUGGUAGUCCACGCUGUAAACGGUGGGUACUAGGUGUGGGGUCCAUUCCACGGGUUCCGUGCCGUAGCUAACGCUUUAAGUACCCCGCCUGGGGAGUACGGCCGCAAGGCUAAAACUCAAAGGAAUUGACGGGGCCCCGCACAAGCGGCGGAGCAUGCGGAUUAAUUCGAUGCAACGCGUAGAACCUUACCUGGGUUUGACAUGGAUCGGGAGUGCUCAGAGAUGGGUGUGCCUCUUUUGGGGUCGGUUCACAGGUGGUGCAUGGCUGUCGUCAGCUCGUGUCGUGAGAUGUUGGGUUAAGUCCCGCAACGAGCGCAACCCUUGUUCACUGUUGCCAGCACGUUAUGGUGGGGACUCAGUGGAGACCGCCGGGGUCAACUCGGAGGAAGGUGGGGAUGACGUCAAGUCAUCAUGCCCCUUAUGUCCAGGGCUUCACGCAUGCUACAAUGGCUGGUACAGAGAGUGGCGAGCCUGUGAGGGUGAGCGAAUCUCGGAAAGCCGGUCUCAGUUCGGAUUGGGGUCUGCAACUCGACCUCAUGAAGUCGGAGUCGCUAGUAAUCGCAGAUCAGCAACGCUGCGGUGAAUACGCUCCCGGG
rnacentral:rRNA from 1 species